UGGGGAAUUUUGGACAAUGGGCGAAAGCCUGAUCCAGCAAUGCCGCGUGUGUGAAGAAGGCCUUCGGGUUGUAAAGCACUUUUGUCCGGAAAGAAAUCCUCUGGGUUAAUACCUCGGGGGGAUGACGGUACCGGAAGAAUAAGCACCGGCUAACUACGUGCCAGCAGCCGCGGUAAUACGUAGGGUGCAAGCGUUAAUCGGAAUUACUGGGCGUAAAGCGUGCGCAGGCGGUUUUGUAAGACGGAUGUGAAAUCCCCGGGCUUAACCUGGGAACUGCAUUCGUGACUGCAAGGCUAGAGUAUGGCAGAGGGGGGUAGAAUCCCACGUGUAGCAGUGAAAUGCGUAGAGAUGUGGAGGAAUACCGAUGGCGAAGGCAGCCCCUGGGCCAAUACUGACGCUCAUGCACGAAAGCGUGGGGAGCAAACAGGAUUAGAUACCCUGGUAGUCCACGCCCUAAACGAUGUCAACUAGUUGUUGGGGAUUCAUUUCCUUAGUAACGUAGCUAACGCGUGAAGUUGACCGCCUGGGGAGUACGGUCGCAAGAUUAAAACUCAAAUGAAUUGAC
rnacentral:rRNA from 1 species